UCCAUCGUGAGGUGGAAUCUGAAGGAAGCCGAAGGCAAAGCGCUGGCCUGACGAACAGGAAGCGGAUAUCAGGCGGUAUGGCGGGGUGAGCAGGCCGAAAUCUGUAAAGCCCGAUACUUGCACGGAACGCCAUGACGUAGAUCCGACAGGCAUAAGCGUGAAGGUCGCGCGU
rnacentral:ncRNA from 1 species